UCCCGCUUAACACGGGCAGUCUCCUUAGAGUGCCCAACUAAAUGAUGGCAACUAAGAAUAAGGGUUGCGCUCGUUAAGGGACUUAACCCGACAUCUCACGAUACGAGCUGACGACAGCCAUGCAGCACCUAGCUCCCGGCCCCCGAAGGGGAAGCCCUAUCUCUAGGGUUGUCCGGGGCUUUCAAACCCAGGUAAGGUUUUUCGCGUUGCAUCGAAUUAAACCACAUGCUCCACCGCUUGUGCGGGCCCCCGUCAAUUCCUUUGAGUUUUAAUCUUGCGACCGUACUUCCCAGGCGGGGUACUUAAUGCGUUAGCUUCGGCACUGCAGGGGUCAAUUCCCGCAACACCUAGUACCCAUCGUUUACAGCGUGGACUAC
rnacentral:misc_RNA from 1 species